UGAAGACGAGGAGAUGAGGAAGAGGAAGGGAAGGGCUAUCGUCUCAUGCUCCUCCUUAAUUGCGUCGUUCUCUCCAUCAACGGGGACCCAAGGUUUUCCUCCAGCGGCGCUACUGCUUUCGAGGUGCAGAGCCCUGCGCAUGGAGGGAGGAUGGUCUUCCCUGUGCGGUCGAAUCGGGCCAAGGUCAUCUUGGAAGGAGAAUGGCGCUUUCCGGAUUCAUCCAGCACACUCAUGUCUUGGCCGCCUUGCUUCUCUGUUUCAUACCCUGCGGAUUCUUGAUCUCGAUAAUGAUCUAUUUCGUUCUUGAGUAUUGGAUGCCGAAUUUCGAUGAUCAGUGACCUUCUUGAGACAACUCAUUGAUAGCCAUUUUCCUCCCUACAUAUCGUUGAUCUCGAAGGAUGAAUCGUCCUUCCCGAACUUAUAGCUUUUCCCUUCUUGUAUCCUAUCAGUGAUCUCUUGGUUUCUUUGCUGCCACUGGAUGGAUGAUUUCGUUGCUCAAUGAUGUUCUCACAUGACUUGUCUGAUGUUGUGAGGCUUGCGGAUGAUGAUUAUCUCAUGGCAUAGUUUCGAUCUAGCCCUAUGAGUCGAAUUUGGGGGGCUCGUGUGUGUUCUUUCUACACAUGGGCUCACGCGAUCCAAGGAGGUAAAAUCUCAUCUGCGACUUGAUCUGGAUAUUCUUAUGUAUAUCCAACAUUUGUAUCCGAGCACGAUUUCUUGUUUGGUGCAACUGGCCUUUUCCAAGCUAUCAUAGGUUAUCUGAAAGAAUCUUACCGCUCGGGAGAUGUAAAACAAAGCAUCCGGCCCAGAUUAUCUAGUGUUGUAUUUGUUCAAGGAUAAGACUCCUUGAACUCAAAGUGCCUUCACCAUACUCUUGUAUCGAUCUCUCCUGCUAAGAGCCACAGUACGUAAGAUUUGAACCAAUACCAUCUACAGGAUAUGGCCCCUCUCAAACUGUUAGUGCUAUCUCAAAGAAUCAUCACCUGGUCACCGACUUACAAGUUGAAGCAUAGUAAGGGCAGCAUCUCAAGGCACCAAUACAAGCCUUGUAUCUUAUGGGAUGAGAGGUUGGGUGAGUGACUUCAGCCUUUUUUCUUUUUUUUUUACUUUUGGAUGGUUAUUUUAAAAGGGUUAUGUUAGAACUCAUUAUUGCUUAAGUCUAGCAGGUAGG